rnacentral:rRNA from 1 species
AACGGCCGCGGGAUCCUCCACCGUGCAAAGGUAGCAUAAUCACUUGUCCCCUAAAUAGUGACUAGUAUGAAUGGCCAAAUGAAGAUUUUACUGUCUCUUAUAGCCGAUCUAUGAAACUAAACUAUCAGUACAAAAGCUGAUAUAUUAACAUAAGACGAAAAGACCCUGUGGAACUUCAAGCACAAACCCACCAUAAUGGCCCACCUGCUUUUAGUUGGGGCAACUUUGGAAAAAAACAAAACUUCCAAUAAAAUUAAAGAUUAACACAUCUAUAUAGUUAUAUACCCGACCCAACACCUGUUGAUCAAAGAACCAAGCUACCCCAGGGAUAACAGCGCCAUCCCCUCUUAGAGCCCAAAUCGACGAGCGGGGUUUACGACCUCGAUGUUGGAUCAGGGCCCCCAAACAGUGCAACAGCUGUUAACGGU